GACGAACGCUGGCGGCGUGCUUAACACAUGCAAGUCGAGCGAACGGACGAGAAGCUUGCUUCUCUGAUGUUAGCGGCGGACGGGUGAGUAACACGUGGAUAACCUACCUAUAAGACUGGGAUAACUUCGGGAAACCGGAGCUAAUACCGGAUAAUAUUUUGAACCGCAUGGUUCAAAAGUGAAAGACGGUCUUGCUGUCACUUAUAGAUGGAUCCGCGCUGCAUUAGCUAGUUGGUAAGGUAACGGCUUACCAAGGCAACGAUGCAUAGCCGACCUGAGAGGGUGAUCGGCCACACUGGAACUGAGACACGGUCCAGACUCCUACGGGAGGCAGCAGUAGGGAAUCCUCCGCAAUGGGCGAAAGCCUGACGGAGCAACGCCGCGUGAGUGAUGAAGGUCUUCGGAUCGUAAAACUCUGUUAUUAGGGAAGAACAUAUGUGUAAGUAACUGUGCACAUCUUGACGGUACCUAAUCAGAAAGCCACGGCUAACUACGUG
rnacentral:rRNA from 1 species